rnacentral:rRNA from 1 species
GAUCCUGGCUCGGGAUGAACGCUGGCGGCGUGCUUAACACAUGCAAGUCGAACGGGAAUGUUUCGCUGAUGCGAUUUCGGUCAAAUCUUGAAGCAUUUUAGUGGCGGACGGGUGAGUAACGCGUGGGUAACCUGCCCUGUACAGGGGGACAACAGUUGGAAACGACUGCUAAUACCGCAUAAGCGCACAGCUUCGCAUGAAGCAGUGUGAAAAACUCCGGUGGUACAGGAUGGACCCGCGU